rnacentral:misc_RNA from 1 species
GUGAAUCAUCGAAUCUUUGAACGCAAAUUGCACUCUCUGCGAAUAGUAUGCGUGUUUGAGGGUCAGUAUUAAUGAAAAUAGGUGUGUUGCUUCUUUGUGACGCUCCGGAGUUUGGGUCAUCUUAAUAUCCUUUAGGUUUUAAGAGGCUUAAAAUAGACUUUUUUUUCGCUUUUUAGAUGUACAUAAAUUAUUUUUUUUUUUCAUCUGUCCUAAUGGUCAGAAUCCUAUUAGAUGCAACGAGAUCGU